CAACACGUGGAUACCUACCCUGGGGUGAGGAAUACCGGCGAGAAAUCGCCGACAAGACCGCAUAGGCUUGGGUGACCAAGCAAAGUCGCAAGACGCCACAGGAGGGGUCCGCGCCCGAUUAGUUGGUUGGUGGGGUAAUGGCCUACCAAGACCGCGAUCGGUAGCUGGUCUGAGAGGACGAUCAGCCACACUGGGAUUGAGAACGGCCCAG
rnacentral:rRNA from 1 species